GAUGAACGCUGGCGGCGUGCCUAAUACAUGCAAGUCGAGCGAACAGACGAGGAGCUUGCUCCUUUGACGUUAGCGGCGGACGGGUGAGUAACACGUGGGUAACCUACCUAUAAGACUGGGAUAACUUCGGGAAACCGGAGCUAAUACCGGAUAAUAUUUCGAACCGCAUGGUUCGAUAGUGAAAGAUGGCUUUGCUAUCACUUAUAGAUGGACCUGCGCCGGAUUAGCUAGUUGGUAAGGUAACGGCUUACCAAGGCAACGAUACGUAGCCGACCUGAGAGGGUGAUCGGCCACACUGGAACUUAGACACGGUCCAGACUCCUACGGGAGGCAGCAGUAGGGAAUCUUCCGCAAUGGGCGAAAGCCUGACGGAGCAACGCCGCGUGAGUGAUGAAGGUCUUCGGAUCGUAAAACUCUGUUAUUAGGGAAGAACAAACGUGUAAGUAACUGUGCACGUCUUGACGGUACCUAAUCAGAAAGCCACGGCUAACUACGUG
rnacentral:rRNA from 1 species